rnacentral:tRNA from 1 species
GCCUGGGUGGCUCAGUCGGUUAAGCGUCUGACUUCGGCUCAGGUCAUGAUCUCACAGUUCGUGAGUUCAAGCCCCGCGUCGGGCU